AACGGUAGCUAAUACCGCAUAACGUCGCAAGACCAAAGAGGGGGACCUUCGGGCCUCUUGCCAUCAGAUGUGCCCAGAUGGGAUUAGCUAGUAGGUGGGGUAAUGGCUCACCUAGGCGACGAUCCCUAGCUGGUCUGAGAGGAUGACCAGCCACACUGGAACUGAGACACGGUCCAGACUCCUACGGGAGGCAGCAGUGGGGAAUAUUGCACAAUGGGCGCAAGCCUGAUGCAGCCAUGCCGCGUGUGUGAAGAAGGCCUUCGGGUUGUAAAGCACUCUCAGCGAGGAGGAAGGUGGUGAGCUUAAUACGCUCAUCAAUUGACGUUACUCGCAGAAGAAGCACCGGCUAACUCCGUGCCAGCAGCCGCGGUAAUACGGAGGGUGCAAGCGUUAAUCGGAAUUACUGGGCGUAAA
rnacentral:rRNA from 1 species